rnacentral:rRNA from 1 species
AGUGAACGCUGGCGGUAGGCCUAACACAUGCAAGUCGAACGGCAGCACAGUAAGAGCUUGCUCUUACGGGUGGCGAGUGGCGGACGGGUGAGGAUUACAUCGGAAUCUACUUUUUCGUGGGGGAUAACGUAGGGAAACUUACGCUAAUACCGCAUACGACCUACGGGUGAAAGCAGGGGAUCUUCGGACCUUGCGCGAUUGAAUGAGCCGAUGUCGGAUUAGCUAGUUGGCGGGGUAAAGGCCCACCAGGGCGACGAUCCGUAGCUGGUCUGAGAGGAUGAUCAGCCACACUGGAACUGAGACACGGUCCAGACUCCUACGGGAGGCAGCAGUGGGGAAUAUUGGACAAUGGGCGCAAGCCUGAUCCAGCCAUACCGCGUGGGUGAAGAAGGCCUUCGGGUUGUAAAGCCCUUUUGUUGGGAAAGAAAAGCAGCAGGUUAAUACCCCGCUGUUCUGACGGUACCCAAAGAGUAAGCACCGGCUAACUUCGUG